UACGUAGGGUGCAAGCGUUAUCCGGAAUUAUUGGGGGGAAAGAGCUCGUAGGCGGUUUGUCGCGUCUGCUGUGAAAACUGGAGGCUCAACCUCCAGCCUGCAGUGGGUACGGGCAAACUAGAGUGCGGUAGGGGAGAUUGGAAUUCCUGGUGUAGCGGUGGAAUGCGCAGAUAUCAGGAGGAACACCGAUGGCGAAGGCAGAUCUCUGGGCCGUAACUGACGCUGAGGAGCGAAAGCAUGGGGAGCGAACAGG
rnacentral:rRNA from 1 species